rnacentral:rRNA from 1 species
UACAGAGGGUGCAAGCGUUAAUCGGAAUGACUGGGCGUAAAGGGUGCGUAGGUGGUUGUAUAAGUUAGAUGUGAAAUACCCGGGCUUAACCUGGGAAUGGCGUCUGAUACUGUAUGACUAGAGUGUUGUAGAGGAAAGUGGAAUUUCCGGUGUAGCGGUGAAAUGCGUAGAUAUCGGAAGGAACAUCAGUGGCGAAGGCGACUUUCUGGACAGCAACUGACACUGAGGCACGAAAGCAUGGGGAGCAAACAGG